GAUGAGCAUGCGUCCCAUUAGCUAGUUGGUAAGGUAACGGCUUACCAAGGCUACGAUGGGUAGGGGUCCUGAGAGGGAGAUCCCCCACACUGGUACUGAGACACGGACCAGACUCCUACGGGAGGCAGCAGUGAGGAAUAUUGGACAAUGGGCGCAAGCCUGAUCCAGCCAUGCCGCGUGCAGGAUGACGGUCCUAUGGAUUGUAAACUGCUUUUAUACGAGAAGGAACACUCCUUCGUGAAGGAGCUUGACGGUAUCGUAAGAAUAAGGAUCGGCUAACUCCGUGCCAGCAGCCGCGGUAAUACGGAGGAUCCAAGCGUUAUCCGGAAUCAUUGGGUUUAAAGGGUCCGUAGGCGGUUUAAUAAGUCAGUGGUGAAAGCCCAUCGCUCAACGGUGGAACGGCCAUUGAUACUGUUAGACUUGAAUUAUUAGGAAGUAACUAGAAUAUGUAGUGUAGCGGUGAAAUGCUUAGAGAUUACAUGGAAUACCAAUUGCGAAGGCAGGUUACUACUAAUUGAUU
rnacentral:rRNA from 1 species